CCGAUGGAGGGGGAUAACUACUGGAAACGGUAGCUAAUACCGCAUAACGUCGCAAGACCAAAGAGGGGACCUUAGGGCCUCUUGCCAUCGGAUGUGCCCAGAUGGGAUUAGCUAGUAGGUGGGGUAAUGGCUCACCUAGGCGACGAUCCCUAGCUGGUCUGAGAGGAUGACCAGCCACACUGGAACUGAGACACGGUCCAG
rnacentral:rRNA from 1 species